UGGGGAAUUUUGGACAAUGGGCGCAAGCCUGAUCCAGCAAUGCCGCGUGCAGGAUGAAGGCCUUCGGGUUGUAAACUGCUUUUGUACGGAACGAAAAAGCUCUCUCUAAUACAGGGGGUGAAUGACGGUACCAUAAGAAUAAGCACCGGCUAACUACGUGCCAGCAGCCGCGGUAAUACGUAGGGUGCAAGCGUUAAUCGGAAUUACUGGGCGUAAAGCGUGCGCAGGCGGUUUUGUAAGACAGAGGUGAAAUCCCCGGGCUCAACCUGGGAACUGCCUUUGUGACUGCAAAGCUGGAGUGCGGCAGAGGGGGAUGGAAUUCCGCGUGUAGCAGUGAAAUGCGUAGAUAUGCGGAGGAACACCGAUGGCGAAGGCAAUCCCCUGGGCCUGCACUGACGCUCAUGCACGAAAGCGUGGGGAGCAAACA
rnacentral:rRNA from 1 species